GCAGCACCCGCGUCCUCCUGGGUGCUACGCUGGGUCCCUGGUAGAUGGAGAAUCAGGGGUUCCCGGCAUCUCCAGUGCAGAUGUAAUUAAAGCCUUGCCUGCCUGCCACAGAGCAUAUGGGACAAGUUAGCAGAGUAAUUAAAUUUUGCAAAGUAUAAUUGUCUAGAUUGGGAGGGGUGAGCACCGAUGUUUGCACGGAGGUUUUUUUGGAUGAGGAAACCUGGAGUUUUCACGCCUUGCUUGUGCGAAGUUGAAUUUCAUUGUUUCCCAAGGAGUCUUCCUGGAGUCCUGCAGAACCUGAGUGCGGCAUUGCUUUUUCCCAGGGAGCCACCUACCAUACACCUUGGGAUAGCUUGCUCAUGCUGUAAACUCUUCUGGCAGCCUGGGCCCUCAGAGGCUCUGCUCAGCAGGAGGAGAGAAGGACUGCAGGGGACAGGAGCUGCCGUUGUGGGCACAAGGUAAAGCAGAAAAAAGCAACACGAAGUGUCUCAAAUGCUGGAGAGGACUGUUGCUGGAACUGAAGGUGUGGAAUGACAGGCAUAGAUUUCACGGCUACCAAUCAGCUGCUCUCCAGCUGCAGUAAUAAUGUGUAGGAUGGCAGUUGCCUCCAGUGGCUGUUUAAAUUAAACACAGAUCUACUGAAUAGACACCGAGUGCCAAGAGAUCCCUUUCGGGAGAAGAACAUGUGUUCUGAAAACCUGUAGCUGUGUCACCUUCAAGCUGUCAUUUCAGGGGGAUAUUGCAAGCAAGGUACAGCCAGCCCAGCUUACGAUUUGCAUGGGAGACAUCUGAGACACUACAGGAUUCCCCAGCAGCUGUGAUAGCUCAGGCACUCGUGCUGGCAAGCUGCAGUUGGAGACGGUGCUGGGAGCCGGGCAUUUCCAGUGAUUGUUUCUCAACUCUGUUUCCCAAGAGGACAUCAAUUUUGAUCUUAAAAGCUCUCGGCGAAGACAAUGAGCAUUUAUCUAAGGCUCACUGCAUCUGGCGUGCUCCGUCCCUUCUCCCUCAGAUUAAUCUCACCUGGAGAAGGACUGCAUCCUUACACACGGGGUGCCGACCUUCCUGCUCCCGAGGGUGUGUGCAGCUGGAUGCCUGUGGCAUUGUGGCAGCGGAGGAAGUGCUUCUGGUCAGGAAAAUAAGCCCCGUCUGCAGCAUUGUCAGUAGGCUCUGAUGCUCAUAUAUCUUUUUAUUAGUUCUCACUCCUGCUAGUAUGUACCCAGCAUAGUCUAGGGUCUCUAAGAGAGUUUUCCAAAUCCACCUAGGCAGGAUUAGCACCAACAUAUGUGCUCGGAGCGGAGGAGAAACUGGCAGACCCAGUGUUUUCUGCCCUGCUCUGACACAGGCCUCUCUACCCAGCCUUCAUCUGGUUUAGCUUUCUUUUGUGAAGAGGAAAGCAGUUCUUCUGGGGGAAACUUUACCUCACUUUUGCAUUGCUGGGCUGGCAAGAAUUCCGGCCAGGCAGUGCCAUUGCUGCUGGUGCAGGUAUUUCUUGGCUAUCACCAGCACUGUGCUUGGGUUUCACUAGGGUAUGC